CGGGUGCUCAACAUGCAGUCGAACGCGAAAGGUUCCUUCGGGGACGAGUAGAGUGGCGCACGGGUGAGUAACACGUAGUAAUUUACCUUUGGGUGGGGAAUAACAGUCGGAAACGGCUGCUAAUACCGCAUAAUGCAGCGGCACCUAAUGGUGACAGUUGUUAAAGCGGGGGAUCGAAAGACCUCGCGUCUAAAGAGGAGCCUGCGGCGGAUUAGCUAGUUGGUAAGGUAAUGGCUUACCAAGGCUACGAUCCGUAACCGGCCUGAGAGGGCGGUCGGUCACACUGACACUGACAUACGGGUCAGACUCCUACGGGAGGCAGCAGUCGGGGAUUUUGGGCAAUGGGCGAAAGCCUGACCCAGCAACGCCGCGUGAAGGAUGAAAUCCCUCGGGAUGUAAACUUCGCAAGAAUGAGAAGAAUAAGUAGGGGACAAUACCCCCUAUGAUGACGGUAUCAUUUGUAAGCUCCGGCUAACUCCGUGCCAGCAGCCGCGGUAAUACGGGGGGAGCAAGCGUUGUUCGGAUUUACUGGGCGUAAAGGGCGCGUAGGCGGCCAG
rnacentral:rRNA from 1 species